AAGGGCCCCGGGAAGCUCUUUUUGGGCUAAUUUCCCCAGAAACAGCCACCCCCAUAUCCUACAGGCGGCCGACUGUUAGCACAGGUUCAUCCCAGCCUUCACGUGGGGCCCAGACCGGCUCCUCCUUUCUCCCUUCCCCUUGUUUGGCAAUGCCCACCAUCACAGGGGUGGCAGCUCUGAGAUCGAGUGUUCCCCACCAUCUGGGAGCCAACAGAAGUUCCCUAAGAACAGACUUGAGGCCCAACCCUGACUGAGGAUCUCCAGAGAAACUUCCACAGCCCCACCCCGGCCCCCAGGAUGGUGACAGGCCAGAGCUCCAAUCAACUGGCCACGUGCCCUCCUGUCGUGAAGAAACCCAGAAGGAAGACGGCCUGCGUACGGGCCGAGGCUCAGGGGUGUCCGGCCCCACUGGCCUGAGGCAGACGCCCCGGAGGCAACAACAGUGAAUGAGCAGGGUCCUGGAGGCCGAAACAGAUCUUCGGUUUUUAAGCAUAAGGUGCAGACACAGAAGAGACACGCGAACAGAUACACAGCAUUUCACAGUAUGAACCUUUCACUGGGGUGGAGAAUUAGGGAAAGGAUGUCGAAAACAUCUUCUUGGACAGAGAACUAAGAAAGCAGCCCUGAGCCUCACUGGCAGCGUCCAGCGUGGUGGGAAAGGAAGCGAGGACAUCGCAGAGCAGAGAGGAAAAGGCAGAGCGGGGGCCUCAAGCGAUGGUCCCGUUAAGUCCCCUCAUCGUCACACCAGCUGGGGACCAGGGAGCAGCUUUGCUUCCCCAGAGUCGAGGACAACUCCAGCCCCCCUCUCCCCAACCUAACACAAAACCAGGGGCCUGACCACAAGGAACUGACCACCCUCCGGCCACGGCGCCAAAGGGGCGAGGCAGGCCGCAUCAGGACAGCGGCGACUGGCUUGCGGGUGAGAAACACAAGGUGCCCUGACUCACCAGAGGUGCCGGCACCCUGGGCCCCGCAGAAAAGCUGCUUCGAACAGGAACGGGCUGUGCUCCGCUGGGCCGAGGCACGGAGACUGGAGGGACCCUCAGAGCUGGGAGAGACCAGAACAGGACAGGGUCAGGUAGGUGCCGUCAAGAGCAGAUUGUUAAAUCUCCGAGUGGAUCCUGGGAUCUCUGAGCUAAAACCCAGGGGCCGCACUUCUGCUUCAGGAAAGGCGGCAGGUGUGCUUCCCCAUCUCGCCCACACAGCGCAACUAAAACACCAGGAUGUUGUACAGAAGACAAGCAAGACUCCGGAAGGGGGAGAGGAGGAGGAAGGCUGGCAAGGGACUACGGGGCCCGAGGAGUGGCAUGGGGCUCGGUUCCCUCGGCUGGGUUUUUGCCUCAGUCAUCCCAGGCAUGCAGCUAAAGAAGUCGCAAACCCAGACAUACAGUAGAAGCAGACAAAAAGCCCCCACGAAUGACUGUUCUCUGUAGCCAAGGGACCAGGAAAGUGGCAGCCUGAGGAGACAAGGGGUUUACACAGCGCCACUCCACCACAGCCGGAGGCCACAGAAAACGGCGUCCACCCAGACCCACUGCAAAGGCUGAGUAGGGAGCUGAGGCUUCCAGCCUGUGUAGAUUUAAUAGGCACCCAGCCCCCACUGGGUGGGGUCAGAUAAGAACAAGUAAGAGCUGGGACUUUUUUCCCCACCAGGUGGUAAUGAAUCCUCCUCUCAUUCCAUGGUAUUAGCGCGAGCAACAUGGGGAGCUUGAGUAUCCACACCCACGCGGCGGUAACAAGGCACCCCUUCCUCACCACACAGGGCUGGUGUGAGGAAAGAGCUAAUGAAGAGUCAAGACUUUUCCAUCACCACCAGAAAUGAGGUCACCCCCCACAGUACUGGUGGGGGCCACACAGGAAGCAGGAGCCCCCAACCCCACCAGCAGUAACAAGGAGCUGCCCCACUGGAGUAUCAACAGAAGCCAACUGUGGACUAGACUCCUGCAUCCACCUGGCAACAACGGGACAGCACCCCCUCCUCCCUUCCGAGAGCGGUGUCAACGAACGCCGGCCAAAACAGAGGUUUACGAAGAUCCAGAGUCUCACCAGAUAAUAUGAAAAUGUACACCUUUGCACUGAAAAUGACUCAUUAUCCCAAGAACCAGGAAGAUCUCAAAUGGGAAAAAGACAGUCCGUGGCUGCUGACAUUGGGGUGACAGAUGUUAGAAUUAUCUGACAAAGAGUUUAAAGCAGUCACAAUAAGAAUAAACAAUUAUGAACAUGUUGG